CAGAGUGUAUCUCAGUAGUAGAGGGCUUGCCUAGCAUGGGUUAGAGGCCCUGGGUUUGAUUCCCAGCACCAUGU
rfam:Ictidomys tridecemlineatus contig022035, whole genome shotgun sequence.